GUUCUACAAAGGGAAACACUGAGACAAAGGAAGAGAAAGCUGAAAGGCAAUCCCAUCCCAAGGACUGGUUAUAAGAAAGAAGAUCAUUAAAAAUAUAUAUAGCGCUGUUUGAAGUCUUCUGCAGGAACAAAUGAACCAAACCUUAGAAGCUGCCUUUUAUUGUUAGUCCAGCAAGCCCAACAUUGUCUAUACUUUCGCUCUCCAGAGUUUCACACAGGAGUCUUUCCCCAAUGCUGGAACUGGUUGAACCCAGAUCACUUUGGACACAAAGCAUGCAUACCACUGAUGUACAAUCUAUUCCCACAAGUCUGUAUCCGUCAAGGCCCCUCAGGCUUAUACACACCAGAAGCAAGAAGGUAGACCACAAUCCACCAAUGGGCUAAUGGGCAUGGCCAAUUUCUGAUAGGUUCCCAAGUGCCGGACUCUUGUAAAGAAUGUUGGACUAGAUCAGCUUGGUGCCCUCCAGAUGUUUUGGACCUCUGCUCCCAUCUGUAACCUCUGUACAGCUCUGUACAUCUAUACCUCUGCACAGUCGAAACUCUCCCCAUCCCUAGAAAUUUCUCCAUGGAUGUUGAAGUUCUGAAUUACCUGGUUUUGUUUCUGAAGUAGAACUGGUGAAUGAGAAAUUCUUCAUUACUCUGAGUUUUGUAAAAUUUUGUGUCUGGAUUUUGUAUGAAGGCCUUUGCCCCUACAGCCAGGAAUAAAGAGAAGGGCACACAUGGUGGGUUAAUUAAAGAGCCACAGCUUUUAUCCAACUUAUUGAGACUUAUAUUUUAUAUGGCCAAUGUAUUUAAACUGGCUUACACCCUGGUGCCAAUUUACCCCAAUUCACUCAAUAAAAUAGCGUAGUAUAGUGGAUUCCAUCGUGGGUUGGAUGGCUCACAUAAAUAAAAAUAAAUUAGUUGGAAAUGAGAGUUUUCACAGCUUAAACCUGUGUGUUUGGUAUCUGUAUGGAAUAAUUGUGGUUCAGAUAGGAGAUACAUACACACACACACACACACACAGAGAGAGAGAGAGAGAGAGAGAGAGAGAGAGAGAAAUGAAUUUGAGUCCAGGAUCAAAGCAUACAGGUAAAGAUGACACUAAUCCCUUUUGUACUGUAUCAUGUUUCAUUCUAUCUUAUCAACAGACUGCUUCUGAGAUCACAAACUCCACCUGACUUGCUCAUGCUUCCACCAUCUUUGCCCAUGAAAACUUUGCUGUGUUGCUAUGGUGGGGCAUGUAAUGACACCUAGCGGUCAGAAAAAUCCACUACACAUGCAUAAUCCCUUUGGUUCCCUUUCAGGGUGUCCUUCCUCAAAUAUUUUAUGCGAUGCGAACCUAAUGAAUAUUGCUGCUUUUCAAGCCAACCUCUAAACUUUUGUAGAGUCUACAGUUUGAGUCUCGGAUGAUUUGAGAUGACUAAGAUGAAAGCAGACUUUCAAAAGCUUCUGAAACAGCCUUUCAAGCCAAUGAGCCAGUGAGCAUAUAGUUUGGAGAGUGAGGACUAUCAACAGUCAUAUUCAUGUAUCAUCACAAAUGAAGGAUGCCAAUCAUUUGUCUGUGAAAGUUACAGAAUAUGAAGGACAGAAGGGGGAGACACAAUUCUCUGGUUCUUCUAGUGCUGAGGAAAUGGACCAACCCAUAUUGGGACUUCAGAGAAGUGGCAGAGAAAAACGUUUCAGAGUUGGGGAUCUGGCUGAAUAAAGGUGAAAGCAGAGCAGCAGCAAAGGAACAAUGUGUCUGAGAGGGGAAUGAAACCAUUAGAGGCUAGGAGGAGCACCAAGGAGAAUAAGAACAACCAAGUCUGAAGGGGAAACUCCUGGAGAAGUAGUAAAGAGUGGGGGAAUGGAUUAAUUUCAGAAAGUCAAUGCAUUCACAUAGUUAUUUGUAAAUUGCUUGUAAUAAUUUAACCUGUAAUUGAUGGAGUGAUCUAGUUUUUAUUUCCUUGCUGAUAUAUUGUUGGUACUGCCUUGCAUGCGAAAUGGAUCCAUGAAUUAUGUUAGCUUGUUAUUAGCUUGAAUUCUGUUGGCUUAUUAUUGAUUUCUUAUAGGAUAGCAAAGUGAUUUUUGUUGUAUAUAUUUUCUCAUUUCUACAGAUUGCAUAUUGCUGUUGAGUACAGUAUUCUUUGGAUACUGAAACUUUUUGGGGAGGGGGGUCCUCACCCAUUUUAGGUACAAUAAAAAGUGAGAAUUGGGGGAGCUUAUUUAAAAAACCACCUUACUCUGCAAAAUCUGGAUCCUUUCUCCCUCUCUCUGUGAAGGGUGUGACAAACAAUGUUUGCGUUUCUCAGCGUCUAUAAUAUACGUAAGUUGUUUUCAUAUUGCAUUCUUUAAUAUAAUUGUAUGUUGCCUUGGGUGUUUUGUCAGCUGAAAUGUGGCCUAUACAUUUUAAUGUAAAUAAAUGAAUUUGGUUGACAGGA